UGCACGAAGCUGGAAUCGCUAGUAAUCGCGGAUCAGCACGCCGCGGUGAAUACGUUCCCGGGCCUUGUACACACCGCCCGUCACACCAUGGAAGUCUGCAAUGCCCGAAGCCGGUGGCCUAACCACUUAUGUGGAAGGAGCCGUCUAAGGCAGGGCAGAUGACUGGGGUGAAGUCGUAACAAGGUAGC
rnacentral:rRNA from 1 species